rnacentral:pre_miRNA from 12 species
GUUUACUUCUAGCAGCACUAUCCUGAUGCUGUCAGAGUAAGUGGUGAAGCUCCAGCAUCAGUGAUUUUGUCGUUAGUGGUA